rnacentral:rRNA from 1 species
GACGAACGCUGGCGGCGUGCUUAACACAUGCAAGUCGAACGGAAAGGCCCUGCUUUUGUGGGGUGCUCGAGUGGCGAACGGGUGAGUAACACGUGAGUAACCUGCCCUUGACUUUGGGAUAACUUCAGGAAACUGGGGCUACUACCGGAUAGGAGCUCCUGCUGCAUGGUGGGGGUUGGAAAGUUUCGGCGGUUGGGGAUGGACUCGCGGCUUAUCAGCUUGUUGGUGGGGUAGUGGCUUACCAAGGCUUUGACGGGUAGCCGGCCUGAGAGGGUGACCGGCCACAUUGGGACUGAGAUACGGCCCAGACGCCUACGGGAGGCAGCAGUGGGGAAUAUUGCACAAUGGGCGGAAGCCUGAUGCAGCAACGCCGCGUGCGGGAUGACGGCCUUCGGGUUGUAAACCGCUUUCGCCUGUGACGAAGCGUGUGUGACGGUAAUGGGUAAAGAAGCACCGGCUAACUACGUG